CUCCAGCCCCGACUCCGGCCCCGACCGCAGCAGAAGUGCACGAGGUCUACGGUCAUCAGGGUCACAACCAAGCACACUGAGCUGGGGGCUGCGAUGCUGAAGGCAGCUGUCCACAUCACUUGCUCUCUGCGCGGGCCGGUCAGCUCCAGAGGAAUUCAUCUGGGGCAGGCCCAACUCGGCCCGCUGAAUUAGCCUCCACGAUCCCCGGGCCUCCCCGGCGCCAG
rnacentral:antisense_RNA from 1 species